rnacentral:rRNA from 1 species
UACGGGGGGAGCAAGCGUUGUUCGGAUUUACUGGGCGUAAAGGGCGCGUAGGCGGCGCGACAAGUCACUUGUGAAAUCUCUGGGCUCAACCCAGAACGGUCAAGUGAUACUGUCGUGCUAGAGUGCGGAAGGGGCAACUGGAAUUCUUGGUGUAGCGGUGAAAUGCGUAGAUAUCAAGAGGAACACCUGCGGCGAAGGCGGGUUGCUGGGCCAACACUGACGCUGAGGCGCGGAAAGCCAGGGGAGCAAACGGG